rnacentral:misc_RNA from 1 species
AAAUUUGACCUUUUGUUUUUUAAUCUCUUUAAUUUUGUAGCUUUUGUUUAUGGUUUUGUUAUACGUUGAAAUGUUCAGAAAUUGUGUUGAUUUUGGUAAGAAUUUUUGUUUGCUAUUUUAUUGAACGUAGUAGUUACUAUGAGUCUUUGCUUGGGUGUUUUUUGUGGAAUGCCAAGACAAAAAUUUUACUGCAAAGGAGGGAAAGGAAAAUUCUUAAUUUGUUGAAGGCUUUCUGGCUAACUAUGCUUUUUUUAUCAUACGAUCAUCUUUCUUGGAUGCCGCGUGUAGUGUGUUGCUAGCUUCCUGGUUUGCUUUAGUUAGUCUAGUUUAUAUGAUGGUUUUCUAAUGUUAGAUGAGAAGCUAACUGUUAUGGCGUAUUUCAUCCAUAUAUUUAAACAUUAUAAUAUUUUUCUCUUGGGUAUUGUGAUGGGCGGUGUAGCUUGUGAAGUUUAUCACUUCAAUGUGUUUUCAGGUCAUCUUAAUUUCAGUUCAAGUGUUUAAUUCUUUUUCCCUACCUUGUAUAGAUUGUUGGGUUAAGGCCUUAAGAUGUAUUGUCUUUUGCAUAAAUAUUGAGAAGUUGUUCUUUUUCUUUACCAAUUUCAGGUUCUAUUGCACUUCCACAAAAGU